rnacentral:lncRNA from 10 species
AAAAGAGGCAAAGGCAGAGGAGAACAAAGGAAGGAGGGAGCAACUUGUGGAUGCUGAGAAAGUGUCUCACUAUGUUGCUCAGGCUGAUCUUCAACUCCUAGUCUCAAGUUGUCUAUCAAAAAGAAUGUCGUAUGAGCUAUUGAGAAAGUUAUGUGUUCUCAUUUUGCCCAAGACCUUUGGCCGGAGCAGAAUAUAAAAGAUUCUUUCCAAAAAGUGACACUGAAAAGAUAUGGAAAAUGUAGACAUGAAAAUUUACCAUUAAGAAAAGGCUGUGAAAGUAUGGAUGAGUGUAAGAUGCACAAAGGAGGUUGUAAUGGACUUAACCAAUGUCUCACAGCUACCCAGAGCAAAAUAUUUCAAUGUGAUAAAUAUGUAAAAGUCGCUCAUAAAUUUUCAAAUUCAAACAGACAUGAGAUAAGACAUACUAAAAAGAAACCUUUCAAAUGUACAAAAUGUGGCAAAUCAUUUGGCAUGAUUUCAUGCCUAACUGAACAUAGCAGAAUUCAUACUAGAGUAAAUUUCUACAAAUGUGAAGAAUGUGGAAAAGCCUUUAACUGGUCCUCAACCCUUACUA